rnacentral:rRNA from 4 species
GCUCCUAGUACGAGAGGACCGGAGUGGACGCAUCACUGGUGUUCGGGUUGUCAUGCCAAUGGCACUGCCCGGUAGCUAAAUGCGGAAGAGAUAAGUGCUGAAAGCAUCUAAGCACGAAACUUGCCCCGAGAUGAGUUCUCCCUGAGACUUAGAGUCUCCUGAAGGAACGUUGAAGACGACGACGUUGAUAGGCCGGGUGUGUAAGCGCAGCGAUGCGUUGAGCUAACCGGUACUAAUGAACCGUGAGGCUUAACCUU